rnacentral:lncRNA from 1 species
ACUGGUUUGCGCUGUUGAAGCCAUGGCGCCUGCCUGCCUGCUUGCGCCGCUGCUGCUGCUGCUCCUCGGAGGCUUCCCCUUGGUCCCCGGAGAGUCGGUAUGUAUUUGAAGGAUGUCUUGGAGGGGGGAGAAUUGGGGGGUGCCUUCUUUGUCCCCUCAAAUCCCGGGAUCCGGAGGGAGUAGGGUGCAUCGCGAACUGUGCUCCCUCCCCCCAACCCCCUCUGGACGCCGAGACAGGGAAAACUUUGUGAGGAAACUUUGCUCUUGGGUCUCGAGAAGGCUGCCGGAGACUCUUCCACGCGCCGUGCACCCCUAGCCUGUUGCUCUGAGCUCUGGACUCAGCCUGGCCUCUGGGCUCCCGGGUGGGACGUGACUAAGUUGGUGUCAACUUUUCUCCUCCCACACCCUCACCCCUACUUUGUGAUCCCAGUGCUGGCGCUGCGCGCGGAGUGGCCCUCUGGGUGUCCAUAGCAGGAGGCUCGAAUCUGAGAUGGUCUGGGGACGGGGUGGGCAGCUUGUAUUCGGGAGCUGGAACACUUUAGGGCUGUGCGGAGGACCCCGUUUCACAAACCCUGGGGAAUGGAGAAGACUGAAUCCUGGCCUUCGUUCUGGCCACAGUCUUGGUACGACUGACUUAAGGGGCAAGAUCACCUCCUUCUAAGGUCACCUGACCUAUCUACAGAACAUAUCAUGAGGUGACCCUUCCUGCUUUAGGCUGUCCAAAAAGUAGGGUUCCUUAUUUUUCCAGAGCGGACUUAAAGGAUAACUUUCCGAUCAGCUCCAGGCUAGAGAUUGAGCUUCAACUGUUUUGUGGGAAGUGUUUUGGUUGAAACCGCACACGGGGAAAUUGAGGCACCCACCUGAGUGCGGAGAAGGAUCUAGAGGAGAAAAGAUCCCAGGGAACCUAAAGAAACCUUUCCUUUUCAGGAUCAGAGUCAACAAGGAUCUAGGGCCGGAUCAGCUCAGUCCUAGCAGGCGUUUAGGAGGCAAGGGAAUUUACAGGGCAUGACAGUUCCUGGGAGAGGGUGGUCUGACCCAUGAGCACGGGCCAUUUGUACCGUUAGUCUAAGUUUUAGGGGGAGUGAGACUCUGGAGUUUAAUCAUUAAUGUUCUUUUGAAAGCCACCUUUUCUCUGGGCUUAUUUAGGGAAUAGUUGAUUAUGUUCAGGAGGCUCGAGAUGAGAGUGUAUGCACUCUCUAGCACAAUUGCAGUUAGGUACGGAACCCAUUGCAUGCUGGUUUCUGCUCUGAUGGCUUCCUGGUGGCUUUGGAAUCGAGCGUGUUUAAUUUCAGAAAACCUCCCUGUUUACCAUUCUUAAACUAGUCCUCAGGCAGAGGUUAAGUAACCUGCUGAAGGUCACACAGCUACCAACCAGCUGAGUCAGGCAGAAGUUAAGACAGACUUGGAAAUGCCUGCUUUUAUCUUCUCGUCCCUGUGGCUGCUGUUAGGUCCCGUUUUCCCAUAAUUCCAGACUGGUCUAACAUCUAUUGAUGCUUGGGAUUGGAGAGCCUCAAGGUGUAUUGUGAGUGGAAUGAACGAGAAUAUGAGGGAAUGGCUUUCCACUAAAGGGAAGGC